rnacentral:rRNA from 1 species
AGAGUUGAUCAUGGCUCAGAACGAACGCUGGCGGCACGCUUAACACAUGCAAGUCGGACGGGGUAUGAGAGCUUGCUCUUAUACUUAGUGGCGGACGGGUGAGUAACACGUGGGAACAUGUCCUGUAGUGGUGGAUAGCUCCGGGAAACUGGAGGUAAUACAGCAUAAGCUCGAGAGAGGAAAGAGAGAUCGCUACAGGGGUGGCCCGCGGCUGAUUAGGUAGUUGGUGGGGUAAAGGCCUACCAAGCCGAGGAUCAGUAGCUGGUCUGAGAGGAUGGACAGCCACACUGAAACUGAGACACGGUUCAGACUCCUACGGGAGGCAGCAGGUGGGGAAUAUUGGACAAGUGGGGGCAACCCUGAUCCAGCGAAUGCCGCGUGAGUGAAGAAGGUCUUAGGAUUGUAAAGCUCUUUUGACAGGGAAGAUGAUGACGGUACCUGUAGAAUAAGCACCGGCUAACUCUGUGCCAGCCGCCGC